rnacentral:rRNA from 1 species
AUUGAACGCUGGCGGCAGGCCUAACACAUCCAAGUCGAAUGAGUGGCGGACUGGUGCGUAAUGUCUGGGAAACUGCCUGAUGGAGGGGGAUAACUACUGGAAACGGUAGCUACUACCGCAUACCAUCAGAUGUGCCCAGAUGGGCUUAGCUUGUUGGUGGGGUAACGGCUCACCAAGGCGACGAUCCCUAGCUGGUCUGAGAGGAUGACCCGCCAGACUGGAACUGAGACACGGUCCAGACUCCAACGAGAGGAGGCAGUGGGGAGUAAGGCGCAGUGGGGGAAAGCAUAAUGAAGCCAUGCCGAGUGUAUGAAGAAGGCCUUCGGGUUUUAAAGAACGUUCAGCGAAGAGACGUUGCCCGAAGAAGAAGCACCGGGUAGCUAAAUGCCAGCAGCCGCGGUAAUAC